rnacentral:lncRNA from 1 species
AAAAAGAGUAGCACUUUUUGAAAGAAAUGUAACAUAAGAAAGGUAAAGGGCAAAUAUUAACCAUGUAAGCUGUUUAUAUUGCUUGCAAUUUAGGUGAAGCAAGCAUGUGUAAAGCAUUUUAAUGUAAAAUUGCUUAAUUUUGCUGAAUUAAAUACAAGUAACAAAGUAAACGAGUAACAAAAAUAUGAACACCACACAAGGGUUAAAGAGUUUUAAAGAAUUUUAAAGGGUUUUACAGGAUUUUCAAGUGUGUUUUCAGCAGUCUCACAUUGAUAUCCUGGUGAAGAACAGCUUUGUGGAAUUGGUUUCUGGGAAGCUGAACUGAAAUUGUGUGAAUUGUGAAAAGAUAAAGAUGUGGUGUGGGGCUGGCUCUUUCUGUAAAGGUUGCACCAGGGGAAAUGGGCUCUUUCUGACGUCGGUGAGAACACAAUGUCUGGGCAAUCUGGAGUGUGAUUACUGGCCUGUUCUGGACAAAUCAAAGCGAUUACUAGCUAAUGGAUUAUGGUGGGAGGAAGGAAGACAGAUGCAUCUUGUUACUUAACAGGCUUACAUGUGCAAACCCCCCCUCUACACCCCCCUACGCCCCUACCCAGAAAAGACAGCCCAUGUGGUCAGCGCUGUGACGCAGAUGAAGAAGCUGCAGGCCAGAAAAUACAAGGAUGCUGUUCUGUUCACUGACCCUGCUGCAGAUACUGAUGACAUGGCAGAGGCUAAACAGAGAGCUCUUCUUGAUCAGCGCCAUCUAGAGACGUACCACAGGAUUCACCGGCUGAGGGACAGACUGUACCAGCACUACUCUGAGUUACUGACAGAGAAGAUCCAGAGACAGAGGCAGGAGCUGAAGAUGCAUCAUGACUCAGCUUCCCAGAAAAACACAGAAAAUGACACUGAACAGAGAAAAAGAAAACCACCCGUCCAGAAGCUCAUAGCUUCAACCCUCAAGCAUGAUGAUGCGUAUCUGGCUGCUUUACCUAAAACACGCUAUUAUCUGAUCCUGGAGCUUCAGAGGCUCCUGGCCCAGCGUGGGUGUCUGCAGGGUCCCAGGGAGCAGGAGGUGUUCCAGCACUGGGUGGACCAGGCCAAAACAGCACAACUGGAGAAACAGCUACAGCAGAUCGUGCUUCGCAGCAAGUCAGCUCCAGUGCUGACGGUGGAAGACUUGCUAAAGAAGAAGAAGAAGAAGAAGAAGAUGCCGGAACAUCUCCCACAGAUACAGGUCUCAACUGAAGAGAGCUCAACCCAACAGAAGCAUCAGACUGCAGUCUCAGAGAGUGCAUCAGGAGCGUUAGCUGUCUCUCCUCGUCUCUACAGCAAGCAGAUUCAGAACCAAACUGAGCUGAAGUUUCCCAGCGUCUUCUCACAGGAGCUCAGAGUGCCCAGGUUCUCCACUCUACAGCCCAGAUUUCUGGAGACCUUCAAGACCAACCCUCUUCUUCUGAGAGUGAAGGAGGCACCUCACCAAUCGAAAGCUGCAGUCGUGACCCAACACCAGCUUCGCCUGAUGCACAGCCUCUCCCUGUCUCACAUCGCUCACACACACAGACUGCUGGACAAAACGGGACUUGCUCUUCAUCGUGAUACAGGAUACAGCAUCAGCGACCUGUUGGAGCAUGUGUGUCCAAACAAAAUCUCAAUUAAAGAACCGAGAUGUUCAACACAGCCUCUUCUCCCACCACUGCAGUCUCUGGAAGAUCACUCCAAAACUGAACUUCCAAAACCUUCUAUGGAGGACACAGUCACUCCAUCCCACCAGGCAAGCAGCAGGAAACAGACUGACGACUCUGCGUUAAGCUACGAUAAAGCUCCGAACUCCUCCAGCUCAGAUGUUCCUCUGUCCAUGGAGGACAUUCACUCUCCGAGUAUUUCAUUGGCUAAAGACCCUGAUGACAAGACCUGGACCAAUUAUGUGUCUUAAAGUCAGCACUUUCAGCACUGCUCUGACCCCUUUUAAGAUAAAGAGGCUUUUUUAUACUAAAUUGUGUUUUUCUUGUUGCUUUUGUAACAUUAGAGACUUCUACUAAAAUAUAUCUUUAAGUGUAACUCACAAAUUAUGUAUAUACUUCUGAUAAAUUUGACUCAAUUUAAUCAAAUGCCACUUCAGCAACUGUAAUAUGUACUUUAAAUGUGUUUAUUUAGUUUAUAAAUUUAUAUGAAACAUAUAUUUUAUUAUGUUUCAGAGUCUGAUAUAUGUAAUAUUUGCA